rnacentral:rRNA from 1 species
GAUUCUGGCUCAGGAUGAACGCUAGCGAUAGGCCUAACACAUGCAAGUCGAGGGGCAGCAUAGAGUAGCAAUACUUGAUGGCGACCGGCGCACGGGUGAGUAACACGUAUGCAACCUACCUACAUCAGGGGAAUAACCCGGAGAAAUUCGGACUAAUACCGCAUAAUACAGGGAUGCCGCAUGGUAAUAUUUGUUAAAGAUUUAUCGGAUGUAGAUGGGCAUGCGUUCCAUUAGCUAGUUGGUAAGGUAACGGCUUACCAAGGCAACGAUGGAUAGGGGAACUGAGAGGUUUGUCCCCCACACUGGAACUGAGACACGGACCAGACUCCUACGGGAGGCAGCAGUGAGGAAUAUUGGUCAAUGGACGAGAGUCUGAACCAGCCAAAUCGCGUGAAGGAAAAGACUGCCCUACGGGUUGUAAACUUCUUUUGUACAGGAAUAAAAGACAUUACGUGUAGUGUAUUGCAUGUACUGUACGAAUAAGCAUCGGCUAACUCCGUGCCAGCAGCCGC